AUUCCGGAGAGGGAGCCUGAGAAACGGCUACCACAUCCAAGGAAGGCAGCAGGCGCGCAAAUUACCCAAUCCUGACACAGGGAGGUAGUGACAAUAUAUAACGAUACAGGGCCUUUGGUCUUGUAAUUGGAAUGAGUACAAUGUAAAUACCUUAACGAGGAACAAUUGGAGGGCAAGUCUGGUGCCAGCAGCCGCGGUAAUUCCAGCUCCAAUAGCGUAUAUUAAAGUUGUUGCAGUUAAAAAGCUCGUAGUUGAACUUUGGGCCUGGGCGGACGGUCUACCUAUGGUAAGCACUGUUGCGGCCGGGUCUUUCCUUCUGGCUAGCCCUCGGGCGAACCAGGACGAUUACUUUGAGGAAAUUAGAGUGUUCAAAGCAGGCCUUUGCUCGGAUAUAUUAGCAUGGAAUAAUAGAAUAGGACGCAUGGUUCUAUUUUGUUGGUUUCUAGGACCAUCGUAAUGAUUAAUAGGGACGGUCGGGGGCAUCAGUAUUCAGUCGUCAGAGGUGAAAUUCUUGGAUUGACUGAAGACUAACUACUGCGAAAGCAUUUGCCAAGGACGUUUUCAUUAAUCAAGAACGAAAGUUAGGGGAUCGAAGAUGAUCAGACGUCUGAACUCCNNNCACGCCNNUCUUCCGAUCUAUAAACUAUGCCGACUAGGGAUCGGGUGGUGCUACUUUGCCCACUCGGCACCUUACGAGAAAUCAAAGUUUUUGGGUUCUGGGGGGAGUAUGGUCGCAAGGCUGAAACUUAAAGGAAUUGACGGAAGGGCACCACCAGGAGUGGAGCCUGCGGCUUAAUUUGACUCAACACGGGGAAACUCACCAGGUCCAGACGUAAUAAGGAUUGACAAGUUAGAGACUUCUCUUGAUCUUACGGGUGGUGGUGCAUGGCCGUUUUUAGUCCUUGGAGUGAUUUGUCUGCUUAAUUGCGAUAACGGACGAGACCUUAACCUGCUAAAUAGGGCUGCGAGCAUCUGCUCGGGUGCUCUUCUUAGAGGGACUAUGGGUAUCAAACCCAUGGAAGUUUGAGGCAACAACAGGUCUGUGAUGCCCUUAGACGUUCUGGGCCGCACGCGCGCUACACUGACGGAGCCAGCAAGUCCAACCUUGGUCGAGAGGCCCGGGUAAUCUCGUGAAACUCCGUCGUGCUGGGGAUAGAGCAUUGUAAUUUUUGCUCUUCAACGAGGAAUUCCUAGUAAGCGCAAGUCAUCAGCUUGCGUUGAUUACGUCCCUGCCCUUUGUACACACCGCCCGUCGCUACUACCGAUUGAAUGGCUUAGUGAGGCUUCAAGAUUGGCGCCGCGGGAGGGGCAACUUUCCCAUGGGGCCGAGAAUCUAGUCAAACUUGGUCAUUUAGAGGUCGUAAAAGUCGUAACAAGGUUUCCGUAGGUGAACCUGCGGAAG
rnacentral:rRNA from 1 species